GAUGAACGCUGGCGGCGUGCCUAAUACAUGCAAGUCGAGCGAACAGACGAGGAGCUUGCUCCUCUGACGUUAGCGGCGGACGGGUGAGUAACACGUGGAUAACCUACCUAUAAGACUGGGAUAACUUCGGGAAACCGGAGCUAAUACCGGAUAAUAUAUUGAACCGCAUGGUUCAAUAGUGAAAGACGGUUUUGCUGUCACUUAUAGAUUGAUCCGCGCCGCAUUAGCUAGUUGGUAAGGUAACGGCUUACCAAGGCGACGAUGCGUAGCCGACCUGAGAGGGUGAUCGGCCACACUGGAACUGAGACACGGUCCAGACUCCUACGGGAGGCAGCAGUAGGGAAUCUUCCGCAAUGGGCGAAAGCAUGACGGAGCAACGCCGCGUGAGUGAUGAAGGUCUUCGGAUCGUAAAACUCUGUUAUUAGGGAAGAACAAAUGUGUAAGUAACUAUGCACGUAUUGACGGUACCUAAUCAGAAAGCCACGGCUAACUACGUG
rnacentral:rRNA from 1 species